rnacentral:tRNA from 1 species
CGAAGCGUAGCGCAGCCUGGUAGCGCACCUGAUUUGGGAUCAGGGGGCCGGGGGUUCAAAUCCCUCCGUUUCGA